AUCUCAGAGUGGGUUGGAUUGACUGUGCAUAAUGGAUUCCUUUUCUAGAAUUACCCACAGGCAAUUCCAUUCACAGUAUGAUGGGGAAGUGGGGCUGGACCCUGAGGUAGCUGACAUGUAUCUGGAACUUGGUGAGAGAGCUAUCGCCUUGGCACUUUGAGAAGCUGAGGGCAGUGUGAGGUUUUGAUGAAAACUUUUGGAAGUGCAACACAAGGAGGUGGGUAUGGUGGGAAUUUGCUGAGUGGUGUGUAAUGUGAUCCUAUUGGGAAACAGGGUUUGCCUUUUAGAGAGUUUUGUGUCUAUCAGAUUAUGAUAAUGAGUUCCCCCAACUCCUCCUUAGGCGUUCUUCUUGCAGCUGUGGAUGACGGGGGUUGACUUUUCAGGGGACCAGGGACCACUUCUAAGUCUCAUUUCCAGUGGGCUUUAGCCGUUCUCAAGCAGAAAGCCCAAUGUCCUAUACCCGUAUCUACACAUCGUGACUGGAGGGGGGUGAUCCAAAAAGCAGACAACUGCUUGAUAUUUGUUAUUAUAAUUUUUUGGAGAAGAGUAGCUGAACAAAUUGAGAGAAAUGGAACGAAACUAAAUUGUGCUGAAGAGGAAUUCCAUUCUUUUAUCCUUUGGACUUUUUUUUUUUUGUACGCGUGGAUCAUCUAUAGGUUGAAAUAAUUAUGAAACUUGGAAUUUAUCCAGUUGUGUAGUGGGUAAUUACAAAAUUGCUUUGUUUAAUUAUGUGGUAUUUUAUAGGAGGGCAUUUUUAACCUUUGUCACUAGCGCCCAGUGGAAGGAGACACAGCUCUUUGUAAUAAGUAUCAUAACUCUAAUUGCAUCUAAGGUUUAUGUAGAAGCAAUUCAUUUUUAAAGACAUGCUCUAAUUUGUGUAAUUUUUUUCAGUCCGUAAAAACUGCCGGAGGAAAUUGGUUUCUGGUAACAAAAGCAAAACAAGAAUAACUGCUUGUUAAUAGGCUGCUCCGCUGUUCAAAUAGCCUGUGUCCAUCCCCGUCGAACACAGGCACUGCUGGUUCAUUUCUGAAACAUGAGGCAGCCUUUUACAAUCAAGAGGUUCAUUAGAGAAAAUCAGAGGAUUUCAAAGUACACUUAAAAAUCAGGACGAACGUCCUGCUGUUAAAGAGCGGAUCAAAGUGGACACCAGGUCCAGAAGGUGCUUUGUGUACAUUCCCUUCUGUGCUAUUGUCAGAAGGGGCUUUUGCUGACACUCACCAUAAGUCCACAUAGGCACCAAUGAGAGAUUAAACAGUUAAACCGUCACAUUUAUUCACGCAUCACGAUUAUUGAGUGUCAUGUGUGCAAGGCAAUGCAAACCCAAUGCUGCCUAAAGAAAAGAUUCAUUUGUCUUUAUUUUCUAAAAUUUGAUUUUAUUGGUGUACAAUUGACUUAAAAGGUUGUUUAGUUUCAGGUGUACUGUGAAGUGAAUCAGUCAUACAUAUAAAUAUAUCCAUUCUUUUUUCUCAGGUGAUUACGAAUUAUUGAGUAGAUUUUCCUGUGCUCUGCAGUGGGUUCUUGUUAAUCAUCUAUUUUAUACAGUCGUGCGUAUAUGUCCUUUUGUCUUUAAAAUGCAACUACUAAGGUAACACUUCAGAAAAAGUCACGAUAUCUUGUAUGUUAUGUCUUGGGGAUGGGAUCAUCUAAAAUCAUUAAUAGAAGAAACUAUUUCAAAAUUUAUAAAGGUUUUUAAAAUGUGAAUUUAAUUAAAUUCAAACAAUUAUUGAACACCUCAUACAUAAGGUACAGGGCGCAAUAGAGAGGAUUCUACCUUGAAGAGUGAGAUGUAGUCUCUGUCCUUGGAAAGCCUUUGGUCCAAUGGGACAGAGAAGAUAUACAAGGGUGACACUGUAAGAGCUAUAAGAAAGGGGGAGAGGAGUUCCCGUCGUGGCGCAGUGGUUAACGAAUCCGACUAGGAACCAUGAGGUUGCGGGUUCGGUCCCUGCCCUUGCUCAGUGGGUUAACGAUCCGGCGUUGCCGUGAGCUGUGGUGUAGGUUGCAGACGUGGCUCGGAUCCCGCGUUGCUGUGGCUCUGGCGUAGGCCGGUGGCUACAGCUCCGAUUCAACCCCUAGCCUGGGAACCUCCAUAUGCCGAGGGAUCGGCCCAAGAAAUAGCAACAACAACAACAAAAAAGACAAAAGACAAAAAAAAAAAAAAAAAAAAACAGAAAGGGGGAGAGAGGGAGUUCCCACUGUGGCACAGCAGAACGAAUCUGAUUAGGAUCCAUGAGGAUACGAGUUUGAUCCCUGACCUUGCUCAGUGGGUCAGGGAUCUGGCAUAUUGUGAAACUCUAACAAAUGUUUUACUAGGGAGUUCCAUGGUGGUCUAGCAGUUAGGAUGCAGUGCUUUCACUGCUGUGGCCCGAGCUCAAUCCCUGGUCUGGGAACUGAGAUCCCCCAUCAAGCAACUGCACGCUGUGCCCUCCCCAAGAAUAUUUUACUAAAGAAAAACUGUAGUGACAAAUGCAUUUGCUUUUCAAUUUAUUUAUUUGUUUAUUUAUUUUUACUGGCUUUUAAGGCCACACCUGCAGCAUAUGGAGGUUCCCAGGCUAGGAGCUGAAUAGGAGUUACACCUGGGGGCCUACACCACAGCCGCAGCAAUGGGAUCUGAGCUGCAUCUAUGACCUACACUGUGGCUCAUGGCAAUGCCAGAUCCCUGAUCCACUGAGUGAAGCCAGGGGUCAAACCCCUGUCCUCAUGGAUACUAGUCAGAUUCGUUUCCCCUGCGCCACGACAGGAACUCCUACUUUUCAAUUUAAAUGAAAUAUCUCUAUAAACAGAAUAUUGUCUCUGUUUACUAUAUUGAUAUAACUAAUUUUUAUAUAAUCCUCAGGAUUUCAGUAAUUUAGUAAUUGCUUCUGAUAAACCAUAUAUAAGCAUUUCUUUUACAUUUCCAUUUUUCUAAUGAAUUUUGUAUCCAUUUGAAUUAAAUGAAUUGGUGAUAAAGUUCAUAGACAUCAACAAAUGUACUUAGAAUUGUAUAAUAUAGCUAUCAUAUCAAUUUCAAGAUGAAAGGAUUACCUAUUGAUUCAAUAAAUAUUGCUUGAAUGUCUUCCAUAUGAUAGCUUUAUGCUAGGGGUGAGGGGUGCUGUGGUGAAUUUACAGACCACAGAGAGCUAGCAGAUUUAAUCUUUGCCCUUUCCAUAGACUGAAGACGGUGGUGACAAAAUCUUCCAGAUAUUUUUGGUCAAGAAAGCUUUUCAAUGUGGAAAGUACCAAUUUUCCCUACAACUUUAAGGAAAUGAUACUUACAUUUAUAUUGUAGCAUACACUUUAACAAUGAUUAAACCAGUGCUUCAGCCAUAAAACAUCUAACAAUAAGGCUAUCAGCUUUGUCUUUCUUGGCUGUCUAAUCAUUUUAGUUUUUUUAAAUUUAUUUUUUAUUGAGAUAUAGUUGAUUUCCAAUGUUGUGCUAAUUUCUACUGUACAGCAAAGUGACUCCGCUGCACACAUAUGCAUUCUUUUUUCUCUUCUUUUUCUUUACGGUUUAUCUCAGAAUAUUGAAUGUAGUUUCUUGUGCUGUACAAUAGGACCUGUUGUUUAUUCCUUUUAGUUUUAGACUCAAAAGAACUCACACAGAUGUUUUCAAAAUGUGGUAUAUGAUACAUAUGCAUAUAUGUCUUUUCUACAUUAAAAUCGUGUAAGUAUAUUAUGCUCUAUUUUCUUUUCUUUCUUUCCUUUUUUUUUUUUUUUUUUUUGCUUUUUAGGGCCACACCAGCGGCAUAUGGAAGUUCCCAGGCUAAGGGUCGAAUCGGAGUUGCAGCUGCCAGCCUACACCACAGCCACAGCCACGUGGCAUCCGAGCCACAUCUGCGACCUACACUACAGCUCAUGGCAAACCAGAAUCCUUAACCCACUGAGCAAGGCCAGGGAUUGAACUGCAUCCUCAUGGAUCUUAGUCUGGUUCGGUACCACUGAGCCACAAUGGGAACUUUAUGCUAUGCUCUGUUUUCAAUGACCUAGAUCACAAACCUGUGUUCAAUUGUGAUAUAUUGAUAUUCUCUCUCUCUCCUUGUAUAUAUAUAUAUACACACAUUGAAUAAGUUGCUCCAAGAUCAAUUCAUACUUAUGAGAUGAAGUUGUAUGGCUGAAAUGCUUAAAUGUUUCUGUGUAAUUAAUAGAAUGAUUUGUUAAUUUGUGGGUCAUUGGAACAGAGAACAGAUGAACCUUUAUGAAAUUUUACUUUUUUUAGGUCACGAAGGCUUAGGACCACAUAAUCCUAACCUCCUGGACAUAUUUUAAAGGCAAAUCCAGCCAAAGAUUAAUUUUAUUCAAUUAUAAUUUUGUGUAUUUGCUUAAAGGCUCUAGUGACUUUUAAAUGGAUUAGACAAACAUUGCUCAUAUCAGCAGGAACAGAACAAUGAUCCUGGGAAAUGUUAAUCAGGGACCCCUAAACAAAAGAUAUCUGAUCCGGUUAGCUUGAGCUAGGCUGAGGGCUAAGUUUUCCCUUUGGUUAUUCAAAAUAUUUAUUGCUGUAUUAAAGUACUGAGGAGGGCUUCGAAGUUCCCUCGUGGCACAGUGGGUUAAGGACCUGGGGUCACUAUGGCAGCUCUGGUUGCUGCUGUGGCGCAGGCCCGAUCCCUGGCCAUAAACUGCCAUAUGCUGUGAGCACGGCCAUAAAAAAAAAAGUUGCAUAAAGUAUUGAGGAGAGCUUCGGUGAAAAAAACCCCCCAAAAACCCAUUGAACUUUGUUUGCUGUUAACAAACUAACUUAAUUGUUCAAGGAAAGUCUAUUUUUCUUGGCACACCAAUUAACGCUACGCAGAAGUUUUUCGCAUCAAUUUGGGAAGCACGGCAUCAGCUAAUUCAAAGACCGCGGUUAAUAUUACUAAACAUUUUAACUCGACAUGAACCUUAAGGCCAAGUUGAACAUUUGAUUUAGUGUCAUGACUAGUGCAUGAAGAGGGUGAGCUGGCCAGCCUGGUUAACGUACCUUCCUAAAUGCGUCGUGUGCUCAUGACUUCUUGUCCGUCGGCAUCCACAUGCCCUUCCCUUUGUCUUCCAGAAUGUUCUUGUGGCGAACGUACAGGAAGCCUGCCUGUCUUGGCCCCAGUGGGUGUCGGGACCCACAGAAUACUUCUCUGACCCUGUCUAAAUGUCAAGAACCAUGAAGGGGGCUAGAUUCUACCCAGCUUUGAAGUUAGCAACCACUUCAGCCCAGCGCAGUUACGCGGAUGCAGGGAGUGAGGGCACGACCCUCCUGGGUAAGAGAGGAGGGCUUGACGGGUCCCCGCAGCGCAAGCAGCCCAUUCUUCCUGCCUGGGUCACCUCCUUUGGCCCCCAAAGUCACAGGGGCGGCAAAGAGGGUCCUAGAUGCUGCAAGUGGUCUGGGUUUGCUUCACAGCUGAGGAACCUGGGCUUAGGAAACCCCAAUUUUUUUUUUUAUUAUAAAUGGGCUGCAAGGCAAUGUGCCCAGUUUCUGUUGAGGAGGGAGAUAAGAGAUUUUUUUUCUUUUAGUAUUUAUUUAUUUAUAACAUUGUAU
rnacentral:lncRNA from 1 species